UACAGAGGGUGCGAACGUUGCUCGGAAUUACUGGGCGUAAAGCGCACGUAGGCGGACUCUUAAGUCGGUGGUGAAAUCCUGGAGCUCAACUCCAGAACUGCCUUCGAUACUGAGAGUCUCGAGUCCGAGAGAGGUGAGUGGAACUGCGAGUGUAGAGGUGAAAUUCGUAGAUAUUCGCAAGAACACCAGUGGCGAAGGCGGCUCACUGGCUCGGUACUGACGCUGAGGUGCGAAAGCGUGGGGAGCAAACAGG
rnacentral:rRNA from 1 species